GUCUCUGUGGCGCAAUCGGUUAGCGCGUUCGGCUGUAACCUAAGGCCUGGUGGUUCGAGCCCACCCAGGGACG
rnacentral:tRNA from 2 species